rnacentral:rRNA from 1 species
UACGUAGGGUGCGAGCGUUGUCCGGAAUUAUUGGGCGUAAAGGGCUCGUAGGCGGUUUGUCGCGUCGGGAGUGAAAACCUCGGGCUUAACUCGGGGCUUGCUUUCGAUACGGGCAGACUAGAGGUAUGCAGGGGAGAACGGAAUUCCUGGUGUAGCGGUGAAAUGCGUAGAUAUCGGGAGGAACACCUGUGGCGAAGGCGGCCCCCUGGUUGGAUACUGACGCUGAUACGCGAAAGCGUGGGGAGCAAACAGG